rnacentral:lncRNA from 1 species
AAUUUUCCUAUCAGCCAACUGUGCCUUUAAGGGAGACAGGAUUGAUGUGAGAUCUUACAAGCUUUCAUUAUCAUCCAGUGCUUGUGUCACAUAGCUGCCCUUCCCUACUUCUCAGCCCUCCAAAAGGCACAAUGUCUUCCAUCAGGCAAAAGUGACACCACAACAUUCAUUAUAGGAAGUAAGAGACAUUCAUCACUGGAAUAUUUUAGCAAAUGAAUCACAACAGACUGAUAGCAUAACUCAUGUUCUAAGGCCAAGAACAAGAAUUGCAUAGUUUAUUUUAAGACAGCAGAAGAGUAAAAAACAGAUUGAAAAACAUAUGAUACCCUCUCCAGCUCAGAGCUCUACAAACAGCAGUGGCGUUUGCAAAGUUCUAUGUAUCUUCUCAAAUGUGGUUUCAGUUUUAAUGUGUGUUGACAUCUUUGUGUGCAGAACUAACUGGAGGAACAACAGUUUGUGCUUUUUUUCCCUUCUUGCUACAAGGGUGAGAACAGGGAAAGAACCAAACGAUCUGUGUUUACUUUGAGCAGCCAUACACCAUGCAUGGACACUAAGCUUCUUACUGCUUCUGAUUAGUGACCUCAAUUGAGACUCAUUGCUCAUUGCAAAGACUGCUAAUGGAUUGUUUGAGCCUGAAUGUGUUAGGAUGGAAUAUUUCUUCUUCUCAGAUUCAAGGCCAGUUUUUUUCCACCCCAAGUCCAUUCUACCCAGAGUUCUAGAUGAUGAUGGUCAGGUUAUUCAAGAUAAUGAUUAUGUUUUCUAGAUGAUUUAAAAUGAAGUUCAACUUUUAUUAUCUUCCCUAUAAUGAUAUUUGUAGUCUUUAUGUUCAAUAACAAGCUGUCAGGCUGCCUCAGUUUAAGCCAAGGCAUUUUCUUAUCAAAACCCAUCACAGAAAAAGAUACAAUCAUGAAACCACAGAUUCUUGUAGCUCUUCACAGUAAACUUUAACUAUGAAUAACCUCUUGGAUUAUUAGCCGAUUGUGAUUACAUUUAUAUUAUUUGCUCACAUGCUUUGUCACUUUAGAGCCCUGAAAACCCUGUUCAUUGUUGCUAGGAGAUGGGUGGCUAUGGCAACAGUGUGGGUCAGAGCCAGAUGGAAUGCCUAAAGCAUAAUCAGGUUUAGGCUUUUUUUUGAUCUCCAAAUGACUCCAUGGCAGUCCUGAGCACGGAAGCCCCAAAUCACUGCCUCUUCAGCUUGUUUCAAAAGACUGAGUCUCACACUGUCACCCGGGCUGGAGUGCAGUAGU